rnacentral:rRNA from 1 species
UUUCUAGCGCUUUACUUUUAUGCUUACCCGCAAUUACACGCAUUGACUCACACUUCCAUUUCAUUCAUUUAUUUAAUAUAAUUUGAAGAUAAAGGAGUUUGAUUUAUUUAUGAAACAAUCAUUUAUUAAAAUUGGUGAAGGUUUAACCGAUUUAUUCGAGAGAUAUGGAGGAACACCAGUGGCGAAGGCGACUUUCUGGUCUGUAACUGACGCUGAUGUGCGAAAGCGUGGGGAUCAAACAGGAUUAGAUACCCUGGUAGUCCACGCCGUAAACGAUGA